rfam:Rattus norvegicus chromosome 20, whole genome shotgun sequence.
GGGGAUUUAGCUCAGUGGUAGAGCACUUGCCUAGCAAGCACAAGGCCCUGGGUUCGGUCCUCAGCUCCG